UCGCGUGUUAGAUCCAGGUAAACAAUAACCUGUGGGCAGGGUCGAUCAAAAGCAACCAAUUUCACAGGUUUGAACUUGUAAGCUCGUUCAGUAAAUUGCCAACAGGUUGUUAUGUCUGCUGCAAGAGCACCUUCCAUCUGUUUUGGGCCAGCCUUUUGUAGAAGUGCCUUGGCAAUACGCUUAGCUACUUGCUCAUGGUCUAUAUCAUCAUCAGUGCAUGUUAGGAUAUCCUCAAGUGACGGACGUGUCAUAUAACUGAAGCGGACCAGCGGAAGUAAACGACAACUCAAGAUCAUAAAUUUAUAUAUGCAAUCUUCAGAUGCUACUUGUAGGUCGGUACUUGACAAGAUGGCUUCAAUCCCAGCAAGAGGGAAGUUCAUCAAUUCACGUCUGAACCUGAAAUGAGACAAACCAUGUCAUAAGUACACCAAAUGCAUGAUUUUGUGACAUCAAUGUCUACAGUUUUCUUUAAAAAGGGAAAAAACAUGGCUCCAUUAAUUGGGCAUCACUAACUUAUGAAAAUUCUUGUACUUGUUGGCAAGGAAUUCCUUGGCAACAUCAAUCACAUGCUGGACCUCAGCAACCAUUAAAGUCGAGCAAGGGUGGUCUAUGUAGAGUAGUGCAGAUUCUGUGGUCAUAGGCAAGCUUGUGAGCAGCUGACUGCAACGCCUCAUGCAAGAGAUAACCUCAAACUUGUCUGCAGCCAUCAAGAUGUCGAGCACAAGAGUGGGCUCAGUUAUUGUCAACUUCCCACUGUACAUAUAGCUUAAAAGUUCCAUAAGGGCAAUUUCCUCUGUUCCAAGUAGAAUGAAAACAGAAAAACCAUAAGAGAAUAGUUCAAUACAGAGGUAAACAAAAAAGGACAAUCUUUUUGUACCCAAAAUGAUUGUUUAAGUUGACUAUUGACUUACAGUAUUGAAAAAAGCUCCAUGUGAGAUUACCCUUUUCCUAUCACGGAAAAAAAAUGUAUACUACUAUAGAAAACUUAUAGUUGGCGGAAUCCAAACAAUCUCAACCAUUCCAUACAAUCUUUCCUAAUGGCUCAUAAAUUACAUUUGACCUUGAAGAUUACCUCAUAAUUGCAUAUCAAAAAGAGACUUAAGACAGAGCUAAUCCCGAAUUAAGAGAGGGUCAGUUAAUCCACUAAAUGCCCACAUUGAUAACUAAAAGAGACGACAGGCAUCAGGGAUAUUAAGAUAGUGCAUGGUACAUUCAAUACAUACCAUAAUAAGCAUGUUUUUCUUAAAAAAUAUAGUAACACAACCACAAUAGCAAAUUAGCCUAAAAUAUGAGGAGGAAUGUUAUAAUUAAGCUAUCACAUUACCUGAAUUGGCAAUCCUAAUCCUUGGAUGGGUCUGAUCAUCAGAUUCUUUCAUGCCAUUCGAGAAAAGCUAUGAAACAUGAAGCUUAUCAGAAACUUGAAAUGACUGUACAACAUGCAGUUCAUAUGGUUAUAAAAAAUACCUUUAGAAAGAAAGGACUUCUUGCAGCAAGAAUCGCUGAAUUGAUAUGAAGGGCCUUUACAGUUAAAAUUGGUGUACCUGCCAUGGUUGAGGAAAAGUCAAUACUCUGUCCAUUAUCAUUUAUCAGCAGCAACAUACCAAGGUAAGUGUAAUACAAGACAACUAGGAAAAGUAAAAGGUACAUAACUAAAACCAUUGACAUAUAAUCUUCUGUUAAAAGACCUGGGACACUCUGUUCAAUGGUACAUAUUCAUUUAAUCAAUGAUAAAUGGUUAAAAUAAUAUCACCAAAACUGAAGGGUCAUUUAGCUGCGGCCAGCAAUCUAGGCAUGCUUGCAUCUCAGUGAGCAAAGUGAUCAUACAUGUUACCUCAAGGAUCCUACUGGAAGUUCAUCAGAUAAUUAUUUGUCAAAAGCCUAUCUUAGGCAAUGCCUUUUACAAGGCUUCAUGACAAACUUGACCAAGAAUUGUAAAAUGAAGAUUAGAAUUUCAAAACCUACAAUUCAUUUUAAGACCUACAAUUUUAGGAUUGGACGUACGAGCGAGCUUUUAGGCUCGGCUCGAAGCUCGCUCCAGCUCGGCCCGUUAGAGCUCGGCCCGAUAGGAUAAUUAGGCGAGCCGAGCUAUGAAAAUAGGCCCGAUUCCCGACCGAGCCGAGCCGAGUUUCGCCCGGUCCAACUCGGUGACUCGUUCAGGCCCAGCCCAAUCCCGUCGGCCUCACAGCCUCGCAGGGCGUUAGGUCACAGCGAGCGUGCGACGCAGUUUCCUCACCCUUCUCCCUUUCUCUGGUCGGCGCCGCCACCCCUCUCCUCGCCGCGCCGCAAGCUGCACUCAUCGGGCGCGGCACCGACGGGGACGGCCGACGCUGCUUUCCCUCACCACAGCAAAGACGUCUCCCCUGGUUUCUCACCGAAUGACAUGAGUAGGUAAGCGAUCUCCUCUGUCCUUCCCAUCCCUAGCGCUAUCUACCUGCACUGGCGCACACACAUGAAGGAAUUUGAUGGAUGUAUAAUGGAUGGAUGCUUGUGAUUGUGGCUAGAGGUCGCAGCUAGCUAGGAAACGCGAUGGAUGGAUGCUACACGAAUUUAAUGGAUGGAUGCUUGUGCUUGUUGGCUGGAGAGUGCAGCUUGCUAGGAUGGAUGCUGCACGAAUUUGAUUGAUGGAUGGAUGAAUUUGCUUUGUGAUUCAUUGUGUAGACUGGUUAUUUUAUUAUCUAUGUAAAUUUUUGUUGAUGAUUGACCAUUUGUUCUUUGCUGAUUUGUGCAGAGCCCUGCGGUCGCAAGAAUGGACAAGGAAAAGGGGAAGAAGAGGAGCUUGGUUUCCAUUAUGAAGACUAAGCCGCUGUCCUGGCCUUCCAGGAAGCAAAAGGGGAAGCAAAAGGGGAAGGGCUACUGCAUCACUGCCGAGGAAGCGGGCAAAACAUUACAGCAAUGUCCCGCUCGCUGAGUUGAUGUUUAGGGUAAAACAAACUUCGCAACGUCCAAGCUCAUGUGUUUGCUGUUUUUGCUAUCCAAAGGUCAAAUAUAUGCGUGUGCUCAAGCUCAUGUAUGUGUUGUUUUUGUUAUCCGAAAGUCAAAUAUAAGUUUGUACAAGCUCAUGUAUAUGCUGUUUUUGUAUCCAAAAGUCAAUAUAUGUUUGUACAAGCUUAUGUAUGUCCUGUUUUUGCUAUCAAAAAGUUGAAUAUAUGCGUGUCUAAGGUAAAGUGUGUGCUGUUUUCGUGUGCUAGGCAAUGAAGCAUGAUAAGCAAGCGGAGGAGGAUGAUGAAGAAGAGGACAAGGAUGAUCAAGAUACUCUGUUUGAGGAGGAAGAUUCUCAUUUUGAUGUCAAACCGCUAAGUGUUAUGCUGUACAAAAUUGCAUUGUUUGGCUGUCAACGUUCAAUAUAUUUGCUGUAUAAAGUUCAAAGGAGGUAUUGUCCAAAAUUAAAAAGCAAUGCUGCCCAAUUCUUUAUUUGACAUAUUUGUUCCAUUUCCUCUACACUUUUCAUAGAAGAAAGCUUAUAUUUCGUCACUAUGCCUAUUUUUAAAACCAUAGACUACUAGAUGUUGCAUUAUUAGCAAUAUAGACUGAUGUCAAUAUUUGUUUGGCUGUCAACGUCCACUAUGACCAUUUUUUAAACAAUUUCCUCUACAUUUUCUCAUUUUAUAUGUCAAAGUGGUAAGUAUUAUGCUAUGCAAAAUUUAUUUGUUUGGCUAUCAAUAUUUGAUGUUUUGCUGUGUAAAGUUCAAAAGGAAGUGUUGUCCAAAAUUCAAUACAAAUGUUGCCCAAUUCUUUCUCUCAUAUCUGUUCCGUUGUUACAAUUUUCGUAGAAGAAUUCAUAGAAGAAAGCUUAUUUUUCAUUACUAUGACCAUUUCUUGAAACAAUAGGCUGUUGGAUGUUUCAUUUUGAGCAAUAUAAACGGUUUGUCUUCCAAAACAUGGGUUUAAUUGCUGCAGAAAAUCAAGACAGUGGACUAAAACAGAGGUUCUACAUGUAAAAGAGAUUCUGGUGGCAGCUGGCUUACGAGCCGGCUCGGUCUGAGCCGAGCCAUACCUGAAGCGAGCCGAGCCGCCUAAAGUAGGCUCGUUGGCUGAGCGAGCCGAGCCGCUCUAGAGCGAGCCAAAGCCAGGCUCGGCUCGGCUCGGCUCGUGUCCAGCCCUACCUACAAUUCCACAAAGGACAACUAGUAGAACUUUAGGUGUCAGCUGGAAUAGCAUGCUUCCAUAUUUUCUGAGUCACAUGGUUGCGUGCCUCCAUUGUCCAGAGGCUGCUCCCAGUUGCAAUGGAUUGAUUUUAUUCUACUCUUGCAGAAUCAAGUGGAUUGAUAUUGUUUGAACACCACUGCUAAAUCAAAAUAUUGGUUGCAUCAGUCAGACGUAUGGACAGGAAUACAGUUUUCUCUGAAUAAACUUGAUACUGAUUUAGUCCAGCACAAAUUUCAUUUUGUUAUAUUUCCACGAUAAGAUCUCAGGAGCAAAACUUAUAACAGCGUUCAAUUGUUUCACCGAUGCCGCAAUCACUAAUCCCUAAUAAAAAGAUCAGCCAUGUAACCACAUAUUGUGCCAGCGCCAAAUUUAUCUCUAUGCAACAGGUAUUUGUACUACUUAAAUCGAAGUGGUUGCUUUUUCCGAGAAAACGCAAAGCUUGCGUCUCAAUGCGUUGAUAGAAGGAAAGUUUUUACAAGUCUAAGAAUAGGCCAACACAACCGAUCAUUCAAGACAGGACCACGACCAAAGACCAUCAGAUAGACGUUACAACUGUCGCCACCAAACUACCUCUUGCCUACCGUUGGCAUGAUGAAGACCACAUAGGAACUGCCCACAAGAUUCAAGCCGUGUCCAACUGACCAACGUGCCAACCAAGGGCCCAACCUCCAAGAACAACACCUCCAGGGACCAAUCCAGAUCUGAGUCGACAAUCCGGAUUGGGGUUUUCGUCCGCAGGAUUAGACUGUAAGGGCUGGAGGUAGAUCGUGGCUCCUCGACGACGCAACCAAGGAGGAAACAACACCCGAGGAUGCCGACACCAAUGAGCUCAAGCAGGGCCUUCGCAAGGAGCCGCACAACCACCACUCACACCUUGGUUGCAACCCCUCAAAGGCAACUUCGGCAAAAUUCUAACACUGCUCAUAACCACACCAGCCUGAAAACCUGAGUGACCCACCAACCUGCCAACAGCGGCCGCACCUUUCCACACAUCAAGAUCAGCAUGGGAAAACCACGGCGCCUACCCACGGAACUGGCCCGCGGCACAAGGACCCUGUGCAUCGAGCAACCCAGACCUGCAGCAAGGACGCUCAGAUCUGCGAUGUGCCGCCAGAGCAUGCAGUGACAACCCCACGCUAGAGCCUGACAAAUGAUGCCUGCUACACGCCGCAAGGUGUCGCCGGAUAAGAAACAAAAAUGGUUACACAAAGUUUCUUUGUAGCUCAGGCUACAUGAAACCUCUUAUCCUCAACCCUUCAGCCUUGUUUUGAGAUCCGUACUCUCCAACUAACUAACCACAAGAAGAUUUCUCUUUUUUGUUUCUUGAAAAUGAAACAACAUAUGAACUUCAAACUUUGCAGACCGAACAAACAUUAGAACAUCAAUGAGUGAAAAAACUUUCAGAUUUUUUGGUCUGAUAUAAAUAUACAAAAUGAGAUUUUCUUUGAAUAAAAAUAUUAUUUCAAGUAUUUAAAAUGCAUGAAAAAAUCUGAAAGUUUUUUCCUAUAUUGUAGUUAGAAUGUAUUGUUGUUCUGCAAAAUUUGAAGUUCAUAUGUUGUGUCGUUUGAGAGAAACAAAAAAGACAAAUGUGUUUGCACGGAUCUUGAUGCAUAAAUGGAUGGCAAAGAUAAGGGGUACCGUGUAGCCUGAGCUACAGAAAACCACACUCAAGUGGUUAUCAAGCAGGCCAAUAAUGACCUUAAACGUUUUAACAAACACAAAACAGUCUGGCAGAGGAGAACACAGAAAAAUGCAGACUAGUAUUGCCCUUACAUGCUUUGUUGAACACGGAACAUGGUUGUGGGGAUUCGAGAAUUCUAACGCUUUAUGGAGCUCUUCCCUCCACAUCUCUUCUCUGAGUAUAAAGGACCAUAUUUUCUCAUAUAUAUAGUCAACAUUUUAAAAAGAUGAGUCGUGAAACAAUUUUUCCAUCGUUCCAGAUCCACAUACAUGGUCAAUAACACAUUUGGCAAUAAUAUGUACUUCCUUUUUUUUAGUUAGAAACGUAAUAAUUGGCAGAUUUGGCAUGUGGACAAUGUAUAAUCUCUGGUUCCAAAAACAAUGUUGAUCUGCUAACUACAUUUCUCUACAAAAUCGAGUUUGAAUUAAGCGAGCACAGCCUUCAAUGCCAGAUAACUCUUACAUGUACACAACAUCGCUCACACACAGUCCAGAACUUAUGGAUUCCUUCAAUUGCUUUCACAUUACACUAAACCCUAAGACCAAUGGCAGCCUGAGCCGGUUAGAUAAACGAAAUUAGCCAAAAAAAAAUCACAUAUCAUCGCAGCCUGAACCGGUCAGGAACCAAAUUAGUGUCCGAAUCGCGCAGAAAUGCAUGAAUCCACCNNNNNNNNNNNNNNNNNNNNNNNNNNNNNNNNNNNNNNNNNNNNNNNNNNNNNNNNNNNNNNNNNNNNNNNNNNNNNNNNNNNNNNNNNNNNNNNNNNNNNNNNNNNNNNNNNNNNNNNNNNNNNNNNNNNNNNNNNNNNNNNNNNNNNNNNNNNNNNNNNNNNNNNNNNNNNNNNNNNNNNNNNNNNNNNNNNNNNNNNNNNNNNNNNNNNNNNNNNNNNNNNNNNNNNNNNNNNNNNNNNNNNNNNNNNNNNNNNNNNNNNNNNNNNNNNNNNNNNNNNNNNNNNNNNNNNNNNNNNNNNNNNNNNNNNNNNNNNNNNNNNGUCGGGGAGGGGUCCUCCUCCUCCGUCGUCGCCGGCGACGACCUCUACCUGCAGCACCUUGUCGGAGAACUUCUCGGAAUUGAAGGCGAACUUGAAGCUGGGCACAUCGGCGCCGCGCGAGAACUCCAGACCUAUCUCCGCGGCAGCCGCAGCCGUCGUCUCUUCGCCGCCGGCCAUGAACUCCGCCGCGUCAAGAAGAGGAAGGGCGCGUGGGACCGUGGCAGUAAACCCUAACUAGCUCGCGGAGGCUUCUUCGAGAAGGCGAAGAGAGUGAGGUCGAAAUCGAAUACAGAACCCGCGAACCUUUUUCCUUUUUCCUUUUGGAGCCUAUAAGAUAAGAAUUGUCAAGAGGACCUUACCAUGUGGCUAAAUUACAAGCACAUAUUUCCCAAAUUUUAAUUUGUGACCAAUCAAUCAUGUGUGAAUUGUACAAAAUUCAUCACAUAACACGUUUCUCGUACAAAACAACAAUAUAUGUCUAUACUACUAUGUAAUCAUAUAUAACUUAAAAAAACGGUAGGGGCACUGUCUUUUAUGUAGAAGAAUAAAAGGUGUUACAAAAAUUUACACGAGGCUUUCUGAGAUGAGGCAAAGCCGAGAGAGCCCCCACAGUACUACAUGUGGACUACUGGCGCAAAGGCGAAUGGUUAGAUUUAUGCAUGUAGACAGUGGCGAAUCUAGACAGAAACUGAAGGAUGGGCUCAAAGCCUGUAUCAUGCCAAUAUCUGUUGGGCUGGGCUUGCAAGUGGCUGAAUUGGGCCAUGAAACUAAUAGUAAAAAAAAAUCUUGCAGUGCUGGAGGGGGGGCUCAAGCCUGUUAAAGCCCCCCUAGUAGAUUCGCCCCUGCAUGCAGAUAUCCUUGAGGGCUAGAAGCCGCGUCAUGAUACACAUAGUUUUAUAAACUAGACCGGACUGGCGGCCCAACAGGAAAAACCUGGAAACAAGGUCUCAUCCGGUUUUUUUAUGUAUGUCUAUCUUUUAGCUAAAACAAAAACAACAACAAAAUAUCAAUAAAAUCAUGUGUUUUUUUCCGAGAAUCAAUAAAAUCAUGUGUAAACUAGGAACUUUUGGCCUUUAGCCACCACAUGUCAAACGGCCCAAUACCAGGCCAUCUACAUUCAUCUCAAUUUUUUUUGUGAUUUCAUAAUGGAUUACAACCAAUUGCUUGGAGGUCAUUUUCUUUAGAAAAUUAACUUAAAUAUUCUGGUUUAUUGUGUCUACUGAACCAGUUGAACUAGUGGUCUGCCCGGUAAAAUCCUAAACCGGUAGCCUCAUCGUACUUUUUUAAACUAUAGCGAUAUGUUAUCCUCCUUCCUGCAAAAACCCUACGAUUGCGUUCUUUCGAAAUGUUCAGAGCGAGUAAAUCAAAUUGCCGCUACCCUCCAACGCCUUCCUCUCUGAGUUGGUUACGAAAAAGUCAACCCGCCACAGGUUGAUAGAGUUGUCAAAGUCAAGGGGCUCAGAGUGGGCAUCCAGUCGGCAACAAUAAUUGUUUUCCAACCCACUUGCGAGAAGGGACAGUCCCGACAAAGGUGUGAAACCAUCUCAGGAGCCCCAAACAUAGGUGGCAGAUAGGGUUGUGCAGUCAUCCUCUGAUCGCCAAGUUUUCCUCCGUGAGGAUCCUACCAUGCAGGACCAUCCAAGCAAAUAACUUGCACUUGGGGUUGGACGUGUCAAAUAUAAAUCUUGAAAAGUGUGUUUAUGUGUGGACACAGAUAGUGAAAUGACAAUCUUUCUUGAAAGCAAAGAUGCUUAUAAUUGUUAAGAGAACAUGUCUAGACAGGAAUUCACAGGUUCUAGUAAGUUGUAUUGAAAAACUUUGUAUAGUAUGUUAAAAGCCCUACGAGUUAAGUGCCAUUUCAGAAAACUUUGGUUCGUCAAGAUACAUUUGAAUAUCAAGGUCUUCCUCUUGCUUAUGUUUAGGAACAUUAUCUUGACUAAAGAUAAUGUACUAAAAAGAGGAUGAGGAAGUAGCAAGAAGUAUAUGUUUUGUAGUUAUAAUGAGACAGUUGAACACCUAUUCAUACAUAGCUUGCUCGCGAAAUAUGGAUGGGGGUUGAUGAACUGCACAUUUUGUAUUAGCAUGGAAUUUGAAUAUUGUGCAUGAGUUGUGUAGUUGGGUAAUGAAUUUUAUUGGCAAGUUAAGAAAAUGUAGUAGUUGUAGGUGUUACUGCGGUGAUUUGGAGUUUGUAUGAAGAAAGGAACAAUGUUUGUGUGAGUAAUGUGUAUAUCCUUAUUAUUCAACCAAUGUGAUAGUUCAAGCGGUUCACUGGCUUAAUUUUCAGUCAGGUAUUUAGAGACAUGUAAUACAUGAACUGCAUGUUAGAGGAUCAAAGAUGUGCUGCAGGUUGCACCUGAUGUGUUUAGCAAGAAAUGAGAUUGCGCGCUAGUUGGCACUGAGGAUCGCAUCAUAGCUGGGUUUGGCAUCUGUUCUCAACUCCUUGAUGAGUCACGGCGAUGGUCAAUCUCAGGCGGAUGACCUCAUGGAAAAACAAGCACUAGGUUCAUGAUGCAAUAUCUGUUGGAAAUCAACAGCUUUGUUCAUGCACUUGCUUGCUCCAUGGCAGCUACCCAUAAUUCAGAAAAUGUAGAAAGGUUUAUUUUAUUUUAAUUUCUCUCGACAGAGAAACAUGUUUUGAAUAACCAGAGGGUUAGAGAAGAGAAGGGAGCUACCCACGUAUGAUCUGAUUCUAUUUCAUGGGCCGGCUGAAAAUAACCACAUUGUUGUGCUGGCCCCAUCGAGGCCUCUCGAUGAUUGGCCAGGCCCGAGAUUAAUCUACGGAAGGAAACUCGACUAGUUUUGCUGAAGGGAUCAUGUGACCCAUGUUAAGAAACAAACAAGGGUUUUUCCUUAAGCUUGACUUUGAAAAAAGCAUACGACAAGGUUAGUUGGGAGUUUCUCCUCAAAUGUCAUACAAUUAGAGGUUUCAGCAGUGUAAGUGGUGUGAGUGGAUUCACCAAAUCUUGCAUAAUGGGACAGUUAGUGUGGAAGUUAAUGAUGUGGCCGGCCCCUACUUUUAAAGCUAGGGGGCGAGGCAAGGUACNNNNNNNNNNNNNNNNNNNNNNNNNNNNNNNNNNNNNNNNNNNNNNNNNNNNNNNNNNNNNNNNNNNNNNNNNNNNNNNNNNNNNNNNNNNNNNNNNNNNNNNNNNNNNNNNNNNNNNNNNNNNNNNNNNNNNNNNNNNNNNNNNNNNNNNNNNNNNNNNNNNNNNNNNNNNNNNNNNNNNNNNNNNNNNNNNNNNNNNNNNNNNNNNNNNNNNNNNNNNNNNNNNGUUGAAUACCUUACCAAAAUAGUUUAAAAGGCUAAGAGGAAUGUAUAAUUUGUUGGCUUGGCCCCUGAUCUUAUUGAACAUGUUGUGGCUAUAUUACAAUAUGUUGACGACAUUGUGUUGUGUCUUAGCCAUGACCCUGCCAAAGCUCUCUGAAUAUAAAACUUUUGCUAUACAUUUUUGAACUUAUGUCCGGCCUUAAAAUUAACAUCAUGAAAAGUAAGAUUUUUACGGUUGGAGGCGAUAAUAAAAUUGCUGCCUUUUACGCUGAUAUGUUUGGGUAUCAACUAGCCUCACCUCCUUUCCCAUGAAGUACUUGGGUGUUCCUGUUAGCUUUUGAUUCUUAAAAACCAUUGACCGGGACUUUGUUCUAGCUAAGAUGAUUAAGCGGUUGGAUGGUUGGAUUGGUAACACAGCUUCCUCCGGUGGGAGGUUGAAUCUGAUUAACUCUACUUUGUUUGGCAUUCCAUCGUAUUACAUGUCUAUGUCCCUCAACUGCUAUUGAGAAGCUUGAUAAGCCCAGGAGAAGAUUUUCCUGGCAGGAGGGUGUAAAUAGAAGCAAGUAUCAUAUAGUUGGUUGAGCGAAAACAUGUAGAGCAAGAGAUAAAGGUGGGUUUGAGAUAAAACUCUAUCUCAACCAGAGACAAUUUGAGGGAAAAAAAUGGACUGGGAAUCAUCUGUGUUCUUUCUGCAAUAACAUAGAAACUGCUGAGCACUUGUUCUUCUCCUGUACUAGUGUUGAUCUACUUGGGGUUGUACUGGUAGAAUUCCCGGUGCUUCUUUGGCUAAUUUUUUUUAUACGAUGGCCAUUGCGGGCUUGCAGCGGUCUGUUGGGGGAUUUGGAAUGUUGGCAACAGGGUUACCUUUGACAUUUGACAAACACGUGAUGAGAUCACCUGCGUUUCGGUUGUAUUGGACAGGGUGACUGAAAGAAGCUGAUGAAUGAAGCUUCAGGAGCAUAAAAAUUGCUGGGCUGCUUCCUUUGUGCUGUGUAGAUGUUGGGUUCGUUUUGGAUGUUGGAUGUUCAGUGUGCUGCUAGCCACCUGUAUUGCCCGAUUCUUGUUUGUUAGGCUAGACUGUUACUAUCAGUGUCAACAGGUUUUAGCUCCGUAGCAGUCGGUUGGUUGGUUUCGAUGUCGAACCAACUGCAGUGGGUUUCCUAUUGCUGCUCCAGCUCGAAUCCCUCUUUCGGUCUUUCCCUCUUCCUUUUGUUGUAUGAACAGCUAUAUUUCCGUUAUUGCAAAUUAAUGGAAAGGGGGUAAUGCCCGGUUGGGGAAAAAAUGUGUCGUCAAAAUAAUGUCACAAACUUGCAGUAGCAACUGACCCGAGUCGAUCUGGUUUAUUCAGAGUGUCGUGCCAUCGCAAGGGAGGGAACACAACACCUGCAACUUCAGGAUUCGGCUACUGGGCACAAGCCGAGGAAGCCGCAUACAUUCUAUCUAUCUAGAUGCACAAGCCGAGGAAACAUAUAUGCUGCAUGAAUGAGGGUUAUCAUUCGAUUUAUCCAGAUGUAUUCAUGGGUACAUUACAUACAGAAACAUAUAUCAAUAGAACAAAAAGAAUGGAAGAGAUAUGCUAGUCAGACCAAAAGUGCAUGUCUACCGCGCGGGCUUUCCAGCCUUCUCACUGUAAGAGCACCCUUACAUCAUUCAGGCACCAAGCCUCCUUCUCUAGCAGACAUAACAAAACGACGAAACGAAACAACACAAGCAUUAAGUACCAAAAAGAACUCCACAUUGUGCCCAGCCAACCAAUAAAACUCUCUGAAAUGACACUGAAGCUAUCAACCUAACUUUGCUGAGUGAGAUAUCAUCAAGUCUCUAGUCCCAGCUGCGCCACCACCCCCACCCUCAAGUCAGCUCUCAGAUGCAGCACGCCAUCGAUGAGGUUGUCGUUGGAAAUGAACGUCGACCAUGGAACCUCAAAAAGAUCAUUGCAUCCCUCCAUCCAAUCAUUGCUGAAGGUAGCCUUGUCCUCCAAUCUGGUCACGAAUUUUCCUGACGAUCUUGUAACUCAAAGUCUACUGUCAAACAUGUUGGCCCCUUUGGCAUCUCAACCGUUCCUAUAUAGAGAGCAAAGCUGUAUGCCUUACUCUGCUCAUCCAUUUGACAGUUUGCUCUGAGAAAGAAAUCUUGUCCAGCAAGAUGGAACAAGUGUGUCAAAAUGUCUCCUGUUGGGAACAGCCGGGAGCACUCCUCGCGUGUUAGAUCCAAGUAAACAAUGACCUCUGGGCAGGGCCGGUCGAAUUCAACCACUUUGAUUGGUUUAAGCAUGUAAGCUCGCUGUGGGGCUUGCCAACAGGUUCUUGUGUCUGCCUCAAUAGUGGCUUGCUCAUGUGCUGGGUAAGCUUUGUGCAAGAGAGAAUCAGUAAUAAGCUUCUUUGUUUGCUCAUUGUCCACAUCAUCAUCACUGCAUGUCAGGACUUCGUGGAGUUUACUCCAAGUCAUAUGACUGAAGCGCACAAGUGGAAGUAAGCGAGAACUCCAUAUCUUGUGCCUCUCCUCUGUUUCUGGGUAUUGCUUGCACACCCACUCAAGCAAGAAGCUAUAUACGGUAUUUUCAGAUCUUAUCUGUAGGUCAGUACUAGAAAAGAUGGCUUCAAUCCCAGCAAGAGGCAUGUCCAUCAAUGACCUGUGGGCAGGGUCGGUCGAAUCCAACCUGGAACGAGACAAAUCAUGCCAUGAGUAGACACUUCGAGCAUGAUUCUGUGACAAAUGUCUACACUCUUUUCCAUUUUUGAGAGAAGAUAUCUACGUAAUAAUUUCUCGGAAAAGAAAAAAGUAGCUCCAUCAGAUGGUGAUCACUCACUUGGCCAAAACCUUGUAUUUGCUGGCGAGGAAUUCCUUGGCUGCAUCUGUCAGAUGCCGAAUUUCAGCAGCCACUGAAGUGGAGCAUGGGUAAUCUAGGUAGAGCAAUGCAGACUCUCUGGUCAUAGGCAAGUUUGUGAGUAACUGGUUACAAUGUCUCAUGCAAGCCAGAACUUCAAAUUUGUCAGCGGCCAUCAAGAUGUCGAGCAGAAGAUUCGGCUCAGUUGUUGACAACUUUCCAGUGUACAUAAAGCUCAAAAUCUCCAUCAUGACAGUUUCCUCCGUUCCUAGUAGAAUGAAACAAUGGGGCAUAAGGGUUUAUCAUAACAGUUCAAGAAAGAACUAAAUGGCAGAUUCUUUGCACGUAAAUUUCAACAGUAGACCUCUUUUAUUGAGGAAAGUUAUCCAUGCAGAAGACUAAGCGUGGACAAAAUACACAUUUGGUAGUUAAAGGUGACGAUGAAAACUGAAAAGAGACUUAACCAUUUCAUUAUGAAAAAGAAAAAGGAAGGGCUGACAGAAACGCAGAGGCAGAAUGACUCACUCUAAUAAAAUGCGGCAGGGGAAAAACUAGGAAAACUAGGAAAAACUAUAAAGGUAAGGAUGUUAUCAGUUUACCCGAAUCAGCAAUUCGGACUGUUAGAUGCCUCUGAUCAGACUCUUUCAUGCCAUUUGAGAAAAGCUGCGGUGAAUAAAGCAUAUUAGGGCAUCUCCAGCCGUUGGCCCCCCAGGAGGGGCAAAAAAUUGUCCCCUGGGGGCGCACCGGCGCUAAACCGCGCACUGGGGGCGUGAUGCACCCCAGUCGCGGCCCCCCACGGGUUUUUAAAAUGUUUAAAUUCGGCGCAAACACAACGCAAACACGUUCGAGUUCGUUCAAAUUUAAACAUAUUUUACAAAAAAGGAAAAACUACCGCGGGCUACUCCCGCCGUCUCCCUCGCCGCCCGCCUCGCCGCCCGCAGUCACCGCCGUCGUCGUCGUCGUCGUCGCCCCCGCCGACGCCUCCGCCGUCCCUGCUGCAUCCCUCCCCCGGUUGGCGUGGCGGGUUGGACGGUCCGGGGGCGUCGUCGUCGUCGUCGCUGUCGAGGACCACGACGCCGUGCUCGUCUUCGCGCCCACGCUUGCGGACGGCGAUCUCCUCCAGGGCCUGGCGCUGCCGGACCAUCUCGUCGCGGAGGUAGUCGUCCCGCGCCCACCGCAGGGCGUCCUCGUCGGAGAAGCCACGCCGGGCUAUCUCCUCGUACUCCGCAGGGAGGCCGGGCUCCGGCUUGGGCUCGACGAGGACGAAGCGGCCGGUGGGGGAGGCGUUGUCGCCGAUGCGGACGCCGGAGCGGCGGGUGCGCACGCUGACAGGCGUGCCCUGGGGCUCCGGCUUGACGGGGCGGAGGUGGAGGCAGGGGGAGCCGCCGGACGAGGAGGAGGACCCCCCGGUCUCCAUGCGCCUCGGGGUCCAGGAGCUUCCCCGGCGGCGUGGGAAGGACGGGGGAGCGGGGUACUCGAGGCACGGCGUGUUGCCGCCCUCGAUGUACUCGAGGACGGCCUCAAACAUGCGCCCGGGCACACCCCACCACCGACGCCGGCCGACGGCGUUGAGCCUGCCGGAGUGCUCGACGCCGUUGGUGGCCUCGAGCUGCUCGGCGUGACGGCGGCGGAAAUAAGGCUCCCAGAGCGGGCUGUCGGGGACGUACCGUGGCCCCUCCCUCGCCGCACGCGGCAGGGACGAGCGGAUGCGUGCGAUCUCCGCACGCCGCGCCGCGCCGGUGGGUACCAGGGGCACCGGCACGCCGCCGGCGCUGAUCCUCCAUGCCCCGGGCACCCGCAUGUCCGGCGGGACCGGGUACUCGGCCUCGAAAAGGAGGCGAGCCUCGUUCUCGUGAAGAUGGCGGCGGCCGAAGCCGUUCGCCGCCGCGCCGUCGCCUGGGAAGCGCUCGGCCAUGGGUGUGAUGAACUGGAGACGGCGAGAGAGAGGAGAGGGAGGAACGACGACGGCGAGAGAGUGCGAGUCGCCGAGUGCGCUGGGGCGCGUCUUAUAUAGGCCGAGGCGCCGCCCGUGCGCGAGCCGCCGUGAUACGCGUGGCGGGCGAGGGAGGGCGAGGGACGCGCAUCAUCCGGUCUUCACUGCGCCGCCCGUGAGGCAUCAAUGGCGUAGACUGACCGGCGCAGCAGCGCGACAGCUUUGGCAUUGAUUCGCCGCGGGAAACGAGGCGAUGAGGACGACGAAGGGGCGAGAAGAGAGCCGUGUCCCUGACGCAGCGGGCCCGCGGCUGUUUCGUGCCAAAACAGUUCGCCCUGGCGCCCCCGGGCGCCCCCAGCGCGCCGGGUUCGGCCUGGGUCCGCCGGCGCUGUUUUCGGCCUAAGCCGGCGAAAAUCAGACUCCUGGGGGCGCGACUGGGCCGAUUUUUCGGCGCCGGCGCAAAAAAUACGCCCGGGGAGGCCUUCCUGGGGGCGCGGCUGGAGAUGCCCUUAGGAAACACGAACUGACCAUAGAAGAAAUGAAUCUCAAAAGGUAUGCAAAUUACCUUAAGAAAGAAUGGACUAUUUGCAGCGAGAACAACCGAAUUGAUGUAAAUGGUCUUUACUCGUAAAACUGGCGUAGACACCAUGGUCCAAGAAGAGUCAAUACUUUUUUCAUCUGUUCAUCACACAAAGAAUACAUAGAUCAGAGAGAAAUAAAUGGCAAACUGGGGGAAGUGAAGUAUAGGCAUAAAACACAAGCACUAGACAGAUUCUGCUGUUAAGGUAAUAGGAACACUCUGUUCUUCAUUGAUUCAACCUUCAGAAAUAAGGUAAAAUGAUUAACAAAGCAUCAUGACCAUUCGAAUUCAUUUAGCUGUAUCAAGCAAUCUAAGCAUGCUUGCUGCUUCCUGAGUAAAGUAAAAGUAAGUGUCAUCCCAAGGAUCUUAUUAAUAUUCCGUAUAAUGGUGUCCAAGCACAAAAGAACAGACAAUCAAAGUGUAAUAUUAUUAUCUGGUUAAUCAGUAUUUUGUACCGCGCAAACAUCUAGUGGCAGAAUCAAGUUCAAGCAACAAAAAAGGAACGCGGGUUUAUCUAAGAGUUGGUGGGUAUCUUGUCAUCAUUGGCAUGUAACUGGUAUGUUGCACGUGUGGAAAACACGCAACCUGCAAGGGUUACCCAGUUGAUCAUCAGAUUGUGUCGGUAGUUACAGCUAUACCUAUACAUCACAGGUGUUGAUACUACAUUAAACUAAACGAUUAUCAAGCAGGCUAAUAUUUAGUAGCAUUAAACGUUUCAAUAAAGCAAGGCAGACUAUUGCUUGACUUUAAAUGAUUAACAGGGAACAAGGUUGUGAAGAGAUCUAGAGUAGGAACCCGUCCCUCCAUGCUUUCUCUCCAAAUAUAUAUGGCGUUCCACAGUUGCUCGUAAAAUCAAAGUAGGAACCCACCCCUCCGCACCUUCUUUUGAAAUAUAUCUGGCGUAUCGCAGUUGCUCGUAGAUCAAAACAAUUACAUAAUGAGGGUUAUAAACCAACUUCCUCAUCCUUCCAAAUAUACAUCCAUUAAGUGAAUAACAGAUUCGACAAUAACAUGUUCUUCCUGUUUGUUUCGUCAGUACGAUUUUUGACAGGAAAAUUUCUGAUAUGAAUAAUCUGGCAUGUUAAUAUAACCUUACGCGAACCAAAUCCCAAUAUAACUGUAAAUUUCCAAACACAUAAAGAUUUUCUCUACAAUCUAAUCUAGUUAAGCAAUAUAUUUCCAGAAAACAAACGCUUAAGUUAACCAAUCCACAAAAGGGCAGCAUCGUUGAUUUGAACAGUUCGAUGUUGUUUGAACGUCAUAACUGCUCCACCUAAAUAUGUGACUAAGAAUUUGCUGCAUCCUAGUUGGAUGUAUGGACGACGUACAGUUUGUUGGUUGCUUCAUUUGAACAGAUUUGAUAUUAAUCUAGACUAGAAACCUCCAUAGUCAGACAAUUCUUAGAUUCACACAACAAGAGGUGAGGUGAGGUGAAGUGAAGAAACAGCAAGAAUCGCAAAUAGCCACAGAUUUCACGCUAAACAGCAUCCGAAUCGCGCUAUAUAAACAGCAGAGAAUCCCCAGCAGCUGCAUCCAUCCAUCCAUCCAAUUCCAACGGCGUGGGAGGAGUGAGGCAGUGUACGGACCUGCUUCCUCCUCGCGGUGGAACGCCAAGUCGGGGAGGGGUCCUCCGUCGCUGGCGACGACCUCCAGCCGCAGCACCCGGUCGGAGAAGCUCUCUGAAUUGAACGCGAACUCGAAGCUGGGCAGCCCGCCCCCGCGCGAGAUGUCGAGGCCCAUCCCCGCCUCCUCCGGCGCCCCCGCGGUGGCGGCACCUUCGCCGCCCGCCAUGCGCCCCACCGCCGCCUGUAGCCCUAGCCGGAUUCUUCUAGAAGGCGCUCCUCCACUGUUGAGCCUUUUCAAAUUUUGGUCGACAGGCUGAGUUUUGGGCCGGUUGCACGUAUUUGGGCUAUUUGGUUUGGACACUGGACCCCAGGCCGGUUACACAUUUAACGAUCGUAAAUUGUCUCAAAAAAUAAAAUAAAAUUUAACGAUCCUAAAAAAACUCUAUACACAUUUAAAAUUUUCUGUACACAUCUGGCAUUUUUCAGAAAACAUUUUGUGAAUACAUGGUCAAUAUUUUUCUGUACACAUUUAACAUUAUCAAAUACUUUUUAAACGCCUGAUUAACAUUUUUAAAAACAUUAUCAACUUUUUUCACACACAUCUUCUAUUUCUUUUAUACAUGAGAAACAUUUUUUAUACACAUUUAACAUUUUUCAAAUUCUAGAUUUACAUUUUUCAAUAUAAUAUUAUGUGCGUUUUUCUGUAAUACUAUAUAUUUAAAAUAUUUGGAUUAUAAAUAAAAGUAAAAAAAUGAAAAAUGAAAAGAAAAACGUCAAAAAUCAGAAAGAAGAAACGAGGUUGUGGCCUCCCACGAGGUGGGCCGGCCCGGUAUGGAGCCUCCCUCAAGCGAGGCUAGCAUCCAGCUCGCGUUGCGCGGGAUAUAAGUGCGGCUCGCACCUGGCUCGCACGAGGAGUGCAAAAAACUAGCCGUUUGGUUUCCUGGGUGCCCUCCUCAAACUGGCCCAACUAAUGCAAAAGGAGGGAGGUGCCCUCCUCAACCAGGCUUGCAAAAACUAAUGCAACCAGGCUUGCAAAAACUAGCCAGUUUGGUUCAACCUGGGCCAACUGAUGCAAAAGGAGGUCUCUCAACCAGGCUAAGNNNNNNNNNNNNNNNNNNNNNNNNNNNNNNNNNNNNNNNNNNNNNNNNNNNNNNNNNNNNNNNNNNNNNNNNNNNNNNNNNNNNNNNNNNNNNNNNNNNNNNNNNNNNNNNNNNNNNNNNNNNNNNNNNNNNNNNNNNNNNNNNNNNNNNNNNNNNNNNNNNNNNNNNNNNNNNNNNNNNNNNNNNNNNNNNNNNNNNNNNNNNNNNNNNNNNNNNNNNNNNNNNNCACUCGUGCCUUGGCUUAAAGUCAAAUGGUACAUGAGAUUGCCCCUAAUGCUUUCCAAAAUUACAUCGAAAGUGCCACCGCAACCUCAUGUAUCUCUCCUUCCUCUUUCCUCUCUCAAGCAUAAGAUCAAAUCAAGGACACCAGUCGCUGCCGCCGGGAUCAGGAGCACCCUCUUGCGUCGUCGGUCCAAGCUUCGUCGUCCACAGAUGGUCAAAACUUCCUCGUCUGCCUCAACCCCGUCAUCCGAGAUUCCUCUUUUUCCACUUGUUCGAUUUCCAUCAUCUGGUGUUAUGUUUGUGCUCCUUGGCCCGUCGGUGAGCAAGCAUCCAGUGGGUGUGCUCAACAGGAACUGCAUCGAAGGGGGAGAUGCCCCUAUGCCGACUCGGUAGGAGCUGUUGGUGCUGGAGCUUGCAUGCUGACGUGCACCCGGUGUCGUCAAGAGUGGUGCCUACAUGGGAGCCGCAUUGGUGCGAGCUUGGCCUCAUGGAAUUCCAUUGCCGUCGUGCUUUGGGAAGUACCUCGCUGGUUUCUCAUACAACCUACCAAUAAUAUAUCACAUUAGCCUGUCCCACAACAUGCUACAACCAAACACACAUAUUAACUCAUUUUUGCAUCAGCGUAACCAGGCUAGACACAUCUAGGACAGUGGAUACGAUGGAGCAUGAAACUAAGCAGGGAAUCAAACACGUCCAUUAUUACUGAAUUGUUUAUUGUUUUAAAUAUUACUAACUGAAUUGUUUAUUGUUUCAAAUAUUACUAAUACCUGACAGACUGAUGCUCUUGAAUGCCAGGCUCAAAAAAUAGGAUGCCUGGGCCAGAAUAAUACCAGUGUCCGGGCUAAGCAUUCCAUUUCUUCUUCUUUUUUAUAAAGAGGUCGGGCUAACUGCCUUGCUAGAUACGCCUGAGCCAGGAAAGCAUGUUCUCUUUGAGGAUACAAACCAAACAACCACCAGACAUAUCUCAGGCAUGGUCCAGGCCAGACAUAAAAUGUUGUCGACAUCACCAAACAUGCUCGUUAUCUCUUUUCUCAUCUCUUGCAUCCUUCUAUCUUCCUUUACUGCAUCUCAAUUUUUUUUCUCCUUAUCCAAUCAUCUGCUAAGGAAGUCCUAGCCCUAGCUGCUCAUCUCCCUCCUCUCUCGUCACCCCCCAAUGUCAUGCGUCGAUGACCCAUCGCACACCCGCGCCACGAUAUUCUAUGUUUUCAUGGUCACCGCCUACACCUCCCACACUAUGAGUGGCCAUGCCUGGACCUCACUCUGUCCGACACCAACCAUCGCAUGAGGGGUGGGCUCGCCGGUGCUGCUUCCAGGCCACCACUCGCCGCUGGAGGUCAGAUGCCCUGCAUAUUCCCGAGCCUCCACCUGAGCAACCAGUGUGGUCCAUGACGAGGAUGAACAUUAGACGUCCAUGCCUUGCAUGUCCAGUUGUCACCAACAUCCUCCAUCACACGCCUAUGUGCUCCAACCUGCACCGACCAUGCGCAAAGGCACCCAACAUGCUCCACUGACAAUGUGGCCGUGUCACCACCGGACAACCCUCUGAGGCAACAUGGCCAUAGCACUCGAUGCAUCGACCAACUACGGCAAAUAGUGGGAGACAAGAGCACAAAGGGCAGGAUGGAGAAAGAAAGAUAGAGAACAUGAAAGAUAAAAAGAUAAGCGACUGUCUGACGGAUCAAACAUCCCAUAAUAAUGCAUAAAAAACAAGGUGAGAACCAGGGGCUACUGUUGGAGCUGGGACUUUUUUUACCGAAAAAGGGUUUCCCCCGCUUUGUAUUCCAAAGCAACCAACAUCGAGUACAGAUAAUGCUGUGGCGAGCAGCACAACACACCAAGAAAAAGAAGAAGAAAUAAAUGCCAAUCACGGCAGCUUGGCAAAGCGCGGAUGACCUGGCACCGCGGCGCCCACCGGACAUAAAUCACCACAGACCAAGGCUCCGAUCCGCCGCGUACCAAGCAGCACCUCCAAGAAGGGAUGCGACGCCGACGACGCUGCUGCCCGGACGAGUCGUCAGGUUUCCCCGGGCACGCGGAGGGAGGUGGGGGGUGGAUACCACCGACACCCUCCAGGAAGGAAUGGUGGCACCCACACAAGUGUCACCGCGUCGGGGCCGAAGCCGGCAGGGAUUUCUCCCGCAUUCCAACCCCAACCGCCCAACCGGACGGAACCGACCUGCCAAACCGUCGCCCACCACCAUGCGCCAACGCAGUACCGCCGCCACCCACGCCGCCUCACUACGAACACCACCACGAGGCCAAGAGGACUGGAGAGAAGCUCACCACGACGGGAGCAGCAACACCGACGUCGAGCGGGAGGGAACCACCUCCACCGCCGUCGUGCGGGAGGCCCGUGCCUCCGGCACCGUCGCGGUAGCCGUCCGGACGCGGCAGGGGGGCAUGCCGGGUCACCCCUGGCCCAGCUAGGCCCGAAGCGGGCCCGUUAAGCCCCGCCGGCCACGAUGCAGUAGGCCGGCGUCGUCGUCGCCGUCACCCAGGCGCUCGUCGCAUCUCCUCCGCCUCCCAGAAGCCACGCCGAAGACCAUCCCCGCCGCCGGCCCGCCCAGGCCCAGAUGGGGCCCAAAGGGCCUAGAUCUGGGCCGAGCGGGUGACGCCAGAUCCCGCCGCCGCGCCGCCCCGCCGCCAACGGCAGCGCCGCCGCCCAGCUGCUCGCCUGCAUGCGCCACGGAACCCCGCCGCCACGCCAGACCGCCGCCGCCGCCGCCACCGCCUAAACACACCAGACCGAGCUGGGACUUUUUUAAGGCUGCGAAAAGGGAGACCACCCAUGUUGGCCUUUGUGGGUAAUCAUAGUAGAUGCUUUAAGAUCAUCUCCAUUAGCAAUCGCAUAUGUAUAUCUGGAUGUCUAUAUAUCCAUAUAGAUAAUGGUCUAAAAAGAUUCCUCAUAUACACGUCAAGCAGCAGAACGUCUAUAUUCUCUCUUUUAUAUUUUAAUAUUAUUUUGUAACUACCAAUUCAACUAUCAUUUUAACAAUAAUUCAACGUCUCUAUUGCAGUGUUAACAACUACUUUUCAAACGGCUAUAUUUUUAAAGGACACUUUCAAAUGGAUAUAUUUCCAACUGCUACUUUUUCAACAGCUCUAUUCCAACGGCUAUAUUCCAGGCCUAUAUAUACCACCCCUUAUCACCUCUCUCAAAUCAUUGCAUCUUGUGCUUCUCUCAUCUCUCUUCUGAGUCCCUCUGUCUCCUCUCCUACGAAACAAUGAGUGAAACAGGAUUCGUUUUUUAUAUGCUCAUGAAUUCGUUGUCGUUAUCUUCAUCGGACGACGACGAACUAAUUCUUGCAGCAUUUGCGAAGCCCGAGGAGGAAGAGGAGGUGAAUGCUCGACGCCAUGGUGGUUCCACGUUGGGACGGCAGUAUUUGUAUCGCGGAAGAGAUGCAAGAUUUGUUCUACUAUGGGACGACUACUUCAAAGAAAAUCGCACCUUUCCCAGAAGUUUUUUGUCGAAGGUUAGUAUUACUACAUUAUUCUCUAUCUGCCUACUUUUCAUCUCCCUAUCUCAUACUUGUUUAUCUGCACAGGUAUAGAAUGUCUCAUAAUAUGUUUAAUCGCAUAGCUGAAGGAGUACUUGAGCAUGACAGUUAUUUGAAGCAAAUAAGAAAUUCUGUUGGAGCUCUUGGGUUGCAUCCUCUGACAAAACAUGACAACUGCAAUGCAACUGCUAACUUAUGGAUAUGCCGCUGAUGCCGCAGAUGAGUAUUGUCGGUCUGGAGAAUCUACUAAUCUAGCAUCUUGCAAAAAGUUUGUGAUGGCUAUUUGUGAAGCCUUUGGAACCAGUAUCUGAGAUCUCCAAAUGAAGAAGAUACUGCUAGAUUACUUGACAUAGGGGAGCAAAGAGGUUUUCCUGGUAUAUUAGGGUGUGUAGAUUAUUGCAUGCAUUGGACUUGAAUUUUUUUUCCCUAAAAAUGGCAUGGCAUGUUUAAAGGUCAUGUGAAUAAGCCCAUAAUGAUUCUGGAGGCAGUUGCUUGGAAGGAUCUUUGGAUUUGGCAUGCAUUCUUUGAUUUACCAGGGUCUCUCAAUGACAUAAAUGUUCUUCACUGUUCAACUCUGUUUGCAAAGCUAUCCGAAGGUGAAGUCCAAAAGUGAAUUAUACCAUCAAUGGUCAUCCCUACACAAUGGGGUAUUACCUUGCAGAUGGUAUAUAUCCACCAAGGGGCAACAUUUGUGAAGACCAUACCAGCUCCAGAAGGCAGAAAGAAGAAACGUUUUGCCAAAAGACAAGAGGGAGCCAGAAAGGAUGUGAAGAGAGCAUUUGGAGUUCUACAAUCCCGUUUUGCCAUUGUUCGAGGACCAGCUAAAGAUUGGAAACGCAAAGAAAUUGGCGAUCUCAUGAAAGCUUGCAUCAUAAUGCACAAUAUGAUAGUUGAUGAUGAGUGAGACAACAGUCCACGAGACUACAAUUAUGACUCUAUGGGAGUAAAGGUGAUCCCUCCCUCAACCCCAACCCCCGAGCGGCUCCCCCUCCCUCGACCCAGACGCGGCGGCGGCCAGAUCCACAGCGUUAGGACCCUCUCCUCUCAUCCCUCUCUCUUCGAGAGAAAAGAGCAUACCUCGACUCGAGAUGGUGUAGUGUGGUGCGACGGCAACCUCGCGGCGGCGUCUUCCUCGUCUCCAGAGCAAGCGAGUUGGCGGGAGGGAGAAAUCAUGCCGCGGUUGAGCUUUGGACGACGCCUUCACAUCAUCCAGGUCGAUUUAGAGGAUGCACAUGUUUGGACGCCCAUUUGCACGAGCUAUUGGACGCCCGUUUUGGGCUCACGUCAUGGAAAACUAGCAUAGACGUCCAUAUAGAAAGCUAUUGAAGAUGUUCUAACAUGGCAUCACCAUACGACCUCCCAUUCCAUGAAGUAGGUGGUACGUAAUGAGUAAACAUGCGGCCUCCACCUCCUCCACGUGCGCUUUGGGUUGGUCCAUAUGUGGGGCAGGGCACCCCUGACUUUGGUCCUUUUUUUCUAUCAUUUAUUUAUUUUUUAACUUUAAAAAACUGUUCAUGAAUCCCAAUUUUGAAAAAAUGUCCAGGAUUGAAAUAAUAUUUCAAAAUUUUGAAAAAUAUAACGAAUUUGAAAAGUGUUCACAGAAUUUCAAACUAUUUCUUGGAUUUCAAAAAAAUGUUCCUCGAUUUCAAAACGUGUUCUGAAUUUGAAAAAAUAUUCCGAAGUUCAGAAAAUGUUCAUGAAUUUGAAAAAUGCUCACAUAUUUUAAAAAUGUUCCCAUAUUUCACAAAAUGUUCCAAAAUUUUAAAAUUGCUCACGAAUUUGAAGAAUGUUCGCUGGUUUGAAAACAAAUCACGAAGCUAAAACUUGUUCACUAUUUUCAAAGAUCAUGAAUAGAAAAACUUUCACGGAUUUGAAAAUGGGAAGUGCAGUUAGUGUCCCAGACUUAUCAGUCGACAACUUAUCCAGACAAUUGCUUGUCUAUCACCGUUUGAGUUUGAAUCAGGCACAUCUUCAUUCAUCGGCACAUACAGAAACAUCGCUGCACAACAAUCCCAGGAAGCAGGUUGUCGGCUUCAUGGUCGAAACCGACGCACCUCAUUGUCAUAAACGAGCCGCUAAUGGGGAAUCCAGUUUACAACAGCAAAAAAGAACACCCACAUAUGCAGCGAAGAUGGCUGUGGUGAAUCCAGAACAAUGAUGAUGGACAGUCACGUUUUGCAGAGAAAAAUAUAAAUCAUAUAAAAUGCGCCUAUAUAUAUGUCGUCACAGUUUUCAACUUUCUCAUUGCAGGUAAUGAAGAGCCUCCUGACAUCAUUCAGGCAAGCCAAGUUUCCAGCACAGACACCAAAAUAAUGAAAUGAGACCCUAAAAUAAUGAAAAUGUCCACGCAGCCAACACGCCUAGCCUACAGCUAAAAUCCCAUUGAAGUUGAACCGAUGGACCUGACUUUGCUGCUGAGUGAGAUAUCAUCAAGCUUGCAGUUUUGGCUGCCCCAGCAACACCGUCAAAUCAGCUCUCAGAUGUAGCACGCCGUUGAUGAAGAGGUUGUCGUUGGCAAUGAACGUCGACCAUGGAAUGCCAAAUAGAUCACUGCAUCCAUGUGUCUCAUCAGCGAUGGAGAUCUUACCCUCCAACUUGCGCACAAACUGCCCUGACGAUCUUUUCCUUGCAGCAAACUCGUAAUCUACCUCGAAACAUGACGAUCCCUUCAUAUUUUUGGCGACCCCUAACCAGAGGCCAAAGCUGCACAACUUACUCUGCUCAUCCAUUUCACAGGUUGCCAUCAGAUAAAAGCCCCAUCCUAGAAGCCGGAAUGGGUGCGGGCAUAUACGCCCAGACGGGAAGAGUUUAGAGCACUCCUCGCGUGUUAGAUCCAAGUAAACUAUAAUCUGUGGGCAGGGUUGAUCAAACGCAAUCAAUUUCACAGGUUUGUACUCGUACGCUCGCUCAGCAAAUCGCGAACAGGUUGUUACCUCUGCUGCAAGAGCACCUUCCAUCUGCUUUGGGUAAGCCUUGGGUAGAAGUGCCUCAGCAAUACGAUGAGUUACUUGCUCGCGAUCUAUAUCAUUAUCAGUGCUUGCUAAUAUCUCCUGAAGUGUCACACACGUCAUAUGACUGAAGCGUACCAGAGGAAGUAAGCGAGAACUCAAGAUCUUACGUCUUUCCUCCAAUUCUACGUAUCGUGCACGGGCCCAGUCAAGCAUGAAGUAAUAUAUGUCAUCUUCAGUUUCCACUUGUACGUCAGUACUUGAAAAUAUGGCUUUUAUCCCAGCAAGAGAAAUGUUCAUCAGCUCGCUUUUAAACCUGAAAUGAGACCAACAAUAUCAUGAGUACACUGAAUACAUGAUUUUGUGACAUCAAUUUCUGCAGUUUUCUCAGAAAACGAAAUAAAACAUGGCUUCAUCCAAUGUGGACCACUAACUCAUAAAAAUCCUUGUAUUUGUUCGCAAGGAAUUCCUUGGCUGCAUCUAUGUUAUGACCUGUCAUAUUAGGGGCUUAGCCCAGUGGGUUGUGGCCCAAGUUAUCUUAUCGUUAUUAGGGGCUUAGCCCAAUUAUCUUAUCGUUUGCUUAGGAGUCAAGUAAACCUCUUUAUAUAAGGAAAGAAGAUGUAUCAAUCUAAUCAAGCAAGAAGCAAUUAUUAUUUGCUCGGCUUUCCUUAGGGAGCCGGGAGACCUAACCCUAGCCGCCUCUUGCGCCGCCGCCGCCUCUUCUCCACCACGCAAGGACGGCGCCAGCCGCCGGCCGCCGCACCCUCGUCCUCGUCCUCCUCCAUCUUUCCCCUACAAUCUCCGCCCUAGAACCAGCAAAACCAUAACUCCUAACACCUUGGUAUCAGGUAGCUUGGGUCCGAUCAUGUCUGCGCCACCAUCCACCCCGCUGCUGCCCACCUUGCCGUUGUCCACCACCGCCGUCCUCUCCACGGCGCCGCUGGUGUUUCCCGCCGCCGUGGUCGACAACUCCACCGUGCCGCUGGCGCUUCCCACCGCGCCGCUCGGCUCCUCCGCGGGGGCCUCCAUCGGCCACUCGCCGCCCGUCACCGCGCCACCUGUCGCCGUCUACUCCCCGACAGAGAUCACCGGGGUCCUUAAUGACCUCGUCACCGCCGUCCAGGGCAUCCGCCUCUACAUGGCCGGGCCUUACGGGCAGCCGCCGCCCUUGCCGCCGGCCGCCGCGACUGGGCCAGCCGCCCUGCCUUGGUACGCGGCCACCACGGCGCCGAUCGGGCCUCUACACCACCACUGGCCCAGUCAGCCGCCGCCCGCCGUCUCCCCCUACUAGCCGCAGUGGCCGGCCCCGGCGAUCGCCGCGCCUCUGACGCCUCCCGAGUCCGGGUAGCUGCCGACCCCGCCGCCGCCCGCUGCCACGCCUCCAUGGCCACAGUGGCCGGCCCCGCCCCUUGCUGCGUCGUCCACGCCACCCGAGUCCGUGCCGCCGCAGCUGCCGGCCCCGCCACCGCCUAGCGCGGGGCCCGGGUCAUCCACGCAGGGAGGCGUACGGAUCCAGCAAGUGCGCUUCCCGCCGUCGCCGUCCCCAAUACCGGCCUGGCUGACCGGAUCAUCGCCGCCACCCGNNNNNNNNNNNNNNNNNNNNNNNNNNNNNNNNNNNNNNNNNNNNNNNNNNNNNNNNNNNNNNNNNNNNNNNNNNNNNNNNNNNNNNNNNNNNNNNNNNNNNNNNNNNNNNNNNNNNNNNNNNNNNNNNNNNNNNNNNNNNNNNNNNNNNNNNNNNNNNNNNNNNNNNNNNNNNNNNNNNNNNNNNNNNNNNNNNNNNNNNNNNNNNNNNNNNNNNNNNNNNNNNNNNNNNNNNNNNNACGGGCCGCAGCCAUGCUGACCAGGCGCCCCAAUCCUUGUUGCUUCGCACCUCCGAGUCAGUCGGCCACGGCGCUCCGACUCAGACACCGCCGCGGUUUGCCAAACUUGACUUCGCCAGUUAUGACGGCACGGAGGACCCCCUUAACUGGCUCAACCAGUGCGAGCAGUUCUUUCGCGGGCAACGCACCCUUGCCUCGGAGCGUACCUGGCUCGCCUCUUACCACCUCCGCGGCACGGCACAGACCUGGUACUAUGCCCUCGAGCAGGACGAGGGCAACAUGCCCCCUUAGGAGCACUUCCGCGAGCUCUGCCUUCUUCGUUUUGGGACACUGAUCCACGGGAGCCGCCUGGCAGAGCGAGGCCGCCUUCCCUUCACCUCCAUGGUUCAGGACUUCGCCGACCGUUUUCAGGCCCUCGCAUGCCAUGUGUCGGGCGUGACGGUGCAGCAGCGGGCCGACCUCUUCGUCGGUGGACUUCCGGAUCACAUCCGCGUGGACGUGGAACUUCGGGGACCCCAGGAUCUCCAGACGGCCAUGUACUACGCCCGUGCGUUCGAGCGCCGCGCGGUGGCCAUCUAGCAGGCAUCACCGUUCCGGGCCGCUACCCGGGCCGGAUGUUCCCACGCAGGGUCGGCCUGCUCAGGCUUCCGCGGCACCCCUCACCGCGACCGCGGUGCGCCCGUUCCGCCGACUCACCUCGGCCGAGCUACUCGAGCGUCGCCGCCAAGGGUUGUGCUUCAACUGCAACAAGCCCUACACGCCCGGCCACGUCUGCCCGCGACUCUUCUACCUGGAGGCUGCAGACUACAUUGAGGAGGACGCCGUCCCUGCCGACCUGACUGCUCCAGCUAUCACGAAGGUGUUUGACGCUGGUUGAUCACCUCGAGGAGUUCGGCAAGUGCUUUCCCACCUUACAGCUCGAGGACGAGCUGUUUGUGCAGGCGGGGAGAAGUGUUAUGACCAUCAUAUUAGGGGCUUAGCCCAGUGGGUUGUGGCCCAAGUUAUCUUGUCGUUCUUAGGGGCUUAGCCCCAUUAUCUUAUCGUUUGCUUAGGAGUCAAGUAAACCUCUCUAUAUAAAGAGAGGAGAUGUAUCAAUCUAAUCAAGCAAGAAGCAAUCAUUAUUUGCUCGGCUUCCCUUAGGGAGCCGGGAGACCUAACCCUAGCCGCCUCUUGCGCCACCGCCGCCUCUUCUCCACCACGCAAGGACGGCGCCCAGCCGCCGGCCGCCGCGCCCUCGUCCUCGUCCUCCUCCAUCUUUCCCCUACAAUCUCCUCCCUAGAACCGGCAGAACCCUAGCUCCUAACAAUCUAUGAAAGGCCGAACUUCAUUGACCACUGAAACGGAACAAGGAUGGUCUAUGUAGAUCAGUGCAGAUUCUGUGGUCAUAGGCAAGCUUAUGAGCAGCUGACUACAAUGCCUCAUGCAAGAAAGAACCUCGAACUUAUCUGCAGCCAUCAAGAUGUCGAGCAGACGAGUGGGCUCAGCUAUAGUCAACUUUCCACUGUACAUAUAGCUUAAGAGCUCCAUAAAAGCAUUUUCCUUUGUUUCAAGUAGAAUGAGAACAUAAUGCAUAAGGAUUACAGAAAUAGUUAGCCGAAGUAAACAGAAAAAGGACACACUUAUGUAUCUUAAAUGAUUAUUUAAGUUGAUAAUUGACUUUCAAUAUCGAGAAAGCUCCAUGGGAGACUGACUUUUUCUUCAUCAUAGAAGACACAAAGAAGUGGCAAAAACUAUCUAUGAAGCAUAGACAUAAGUUGGCGAAAGUCUCGUACCCUUCUAGGGUUUCUCUCUCUCUGCGGCGACAGCCAAGGAGAUUUCUCCCUCCCUUCGAUUCCGAUCAGACCACGUCUAAUCGGGUUCCCGGGGGAGUAGUACGGAAGAACAGAAGGCGAUCACAACCCCUGGGAGGGUUUCGAGCGGAUGAGGUCCGAACGAUGGAGAAGGGUACUUCACCUAGGGUUAGUGGCGGCGGGGAAGAGAUGGAAGGAAAAGAGGUGAUGGAGGAGACGGGAUCGGUGGCGGGGGAAGGUAGAUCGCAGCAUGAGGAGUCACUAGAUGAGAAGCUGAAAUACCUGAACCUAAGGGAAGACGAGGAGGAAGAUGUGAUCUUGGAGGAGGACCUGGAGGAGCCGGAGAAGGAUGCUGAAUUCAUGGCGAUAUCUAGGGUUCAUACUGCAAGAAAAUUUAGCCAUGGGGCCUUCUAUGGAACAAUGAGAUCUGCAUGGAAUCUUGCACAAGAGGUGGAAUUCAGAGCUAUAGAGGAUAAUUUGUUCUCUGUGCAAAUCGCAUGUCUAGCGGAUUGGGAGAGGGUUAUGCAUGAUGGGCCUUGGAUUUUCCGCAACUGUCCAGUGUUAAUUGCUCCGUACGAUGGGUGGUCGGAGCCAACUGAGGUGGAUCUGAAUACCUACCAGGCAUGGGUGAGGGUGAUGGGGUUGAAGGAAAAGAUGAGAAGUGCGAAUAUAGCGCGACAGUUGGCAACGAAGGCGGUGGAAUCAGAGUACGUGUUACUCUGGACGUGCGUAAACCCCUCACAAGGUGUGCUAGCCUAACCUUGAGAUCGAAGAAAGUUUACUUUGACUUUGAGUAUGAGAAGAUGCCGUUGUUCUGUGGGGUUUGUGGAUUUGUGGGUCACGUGACCAAAGAACAUGGGAACGGGGUACACAACGAAACUGCAAUUAUCUAUCCUUUAACCUUGAUUGCGGCAGAUUUUAGAAGAGAUGAGCAAGGAUGGCAGAAUGGGUACAAUGGUAGAGGAGGAAGGGCAGGAAGAACUGAAGAGGGAGGAAAAGGGGGUGCUGCUGCGGUAAGGAGGGAGUCUGGUGAUCUUAGCAGCUCGGCUAGCAGCCCUUCUAAACCUGCUGGCACCUCGUCGCAAACUUCAAGUGCCCAGAAGAGGCGGCUCGAGUUCACGGAGAAAGGGAAGAAUGACCAACUGCUCCUGACGCAAGGAAGGGGAGAGGAUGAAUCAAAGAUGGGGGACGGAGCAGGACACCAAAGAGGAGGGUGGGAAGAGAAGGACAACACCUCACAGGAGUCAAAGAGUCACAAAGCAGAAGAAACAACAUCAAUGGACUUGGCAACAUUGGCGGCCUCCCGGGUGGAGGACCGCCAGGCCCAAUGAUUCUCCUAGGGUGGAACUGCCACGGGAUGCGUCAGUCUCGGGCAGUUAGAGCACUUCUGGAGGUCCAGAGGUGCUACAAACCGGAUGUGCUCUUUCUGUCAAAAGCACAUCUGUCUGACGCAGGGGCAGAGUGGCUGAUGAGGAGGCUAGGGUUCCAGGAGAGGCUGGUUGACCCGAGUGAUGGAAGGGCGGGGGGUUUGCUGAUGAUGUGGAAAUCUGGAGUGACUGUGACAAAAAAUGAUGUUACAGCCAACUUCAUUGACGUAACGGUGGAUGAUGGAAGUGGCGGUGUACUGGAUUUUAUGGAGAGCCGGCAAAGGAGAAUAAACAUAAAUCAUGGGAAUAUCUUCGUGCACAGCAGGAGAGGAUGGAUGAGCCAUGGAUAGUUUUUGGCGAUUUCAACGAAAUCUUAUUCUCUCAUGAAAAGGAAGGAGGGGCACCCAGAGAGAUGCAAGCAUUAAGGGAUGUCCUGUCAGAGUGCGAGUUGGCAGAUUUGGGUGCAACGGGAGACUCAUAUACAUGGAGUAGAGGGAGGAUAAAGGAAAGGUUGGAUAGAGUUGUCUGUAACUCACGGUGGAAUUUGCUCUUUCCUAAUGUUGGUGUCGUGAAUGGUGAAAUGACAAAAUCUGAUCAUCGUCCCUUGGUGAUAGAUACUGAGCUCUAUAAAGAAACGAACCGGCCCCUACGGCCGGUGAAGAGAUUUGAGGGGAGGUGGUCAAAGGAGGAGACGGUGGAGGAGGUGGUUCGCACGGCCUGGCAGCAAGCAUCAUUGCUAGGUCUAGGGCCGUUCAAACAAAAGGUGGACUCGGUUCAUGAGGAGCUGCAUAAAUGGGAUAGAGAGACCCUCAAAAGACCUCAAAUGCGAAUGGCGAAAAUGAAAAAGGAGUUGGAAGAACUGAGAAGAGGGCCGGCUACUGAUGUAGCACUUGAUAGACAGGAGAUACUGCUGGUGAUUGAAAAUCUAUUAGAGCAGGAAGAAAUUGCAUGGGUCCAGAGAGGAAGAGCUAACUGGCUGAAGCAUGGUGAUCUGAAUACUUAUUUCUUCCAUAUGUAUGCUUCGGCAAGGAAGAAGAGGAACAUGAUUAAGGGAUUGCAAGAUGUGAAUGGAGUGAUGCAGGAAGGACAACAGGAGAUAGCUGAGAUAAUUAAAACCUACUUCACUAACUUGUUUUCUUCCCAGGUUGAGCUCCCUAAUGAAGAGGUUUUUCGGGAUGUGACGCCGAGAGUUACAACUCAAAUGAACGAGGCCUUACUGGCGCCCUUCACGGAGGAGGAUGUACGCAAGGCUGUGUUCAGUAUAGGUGAUUUUAAGGCACCAGGACCAGAUGGACUUCAUGCGGCUUUUUAUAAGAGGUUCUGGAACAUGUUAAAGGAUGAUCUAGUGGGAGAAGUUCUGGGGGCAAUUAACACACGCACUAUCCCAGAAGGGUGGAAUAGUACUACUAUAGUGCUGAUCCCAAAGGUUGAGAACCCCACAAGUGUCUCACAGUUUAGGCCGAUUAGCCUGUGUAACGUGGUCUACAAAAUCAUCUCCAAAAUGCUUGCUUCUCGGCUUAAAGUGAUACUUCCGGAGAUCAUUGGUCCCACGCAGAGCGCUUUCGUUCCGGGAAGAUUGAUCACGGACAACAUACUAAUUGCGUACGAGUGUGUGAACACUACAAAGAGGAAGAAAGGCAAGUCUGGCUUAUGUGCAGUGAAACUCGAUAUGCAUAAGGCAUAUGACCGAGUAGAAUGGUGUUUUCUUAAGAGGAUGAUGCAAAGGCUUGGGUUUGCGGAACAGUGGACAUAAUUGAUCAUGGAGUGUGUAUCAUCCGUGUCAUAUAAUGUCAGAUACAACUCUGAGAGCACUGAUGUUUUUGCGCCAACACGUGGGCUGCGACAAGGGGACCCCUUGUCCCCCUACCUGUUUCUAAUCUGUGCGGAGGCGCUAUCUAGCAUGUUGCAGGCGGAAGAGAACAAUGGCACAUUGAUAGGGGUCAAGGUGUGUAGGGAGGCACCGCAGAUUUCUCAUCUGCUCUUCGUUGACGACUCCUUAAUUCUUAUGAGAGCAGAUGGCCCAAAUGCGGCGUGCCUCCAAAGGGUGUUGGACGAUUACUGUACGAGCUCCGGACAGUUGGUCAGUGAGGCGAAAUCUAGUAUAUACUUCAGUCCAAACACCCCGGUGGAGAAAGUUGUGAUAUGUCAACAACUGAAUAUUAACACGGAAGCCCUUAACGAUAAAUAUCUUGGGCUACCAUCCAUGGUGGGAACGGACAGGAGUGACUCUUUUGAGUAUCUCAUCGACAGAGUAAAUCAGGUGAUGAUAGGGUGGAAGGAGAAGCUGCUUUCCACAGGGGGGAAAGAAACGCUAAUUAAGGCUGUUGCCCAUGCCAUGCCGGUGUUCGCGAUGUCUGUAUUCAAAAUUCCGAAGAAAAUUUGCAAAGGAAUAACGAAUGCUAUAUCGAAAUACUGGUGGGGAGAUGACGACAACCAUAAGCGUACCCAUUGGGCAGCAUGGUGGAAAGUGUGUAUACCGAAAGAAAGGGGAGGUUUGGGAUUCAGGGAUCUACACAGUUUUAACUUAGCUCUCCUUGCUAAACAAGUUUGGAGGCUGCUUGAGAACCCUGAUUCUCUUUGUGCUCAGGUUUUGAGAGCCAAAUAUUAUCCGGAUGGAAAGCUACUGGAUGCCAAGGUGAAAAGUGGAAGCUCGUAUACAUGGCAGAGUAUAUGUGCCGGUAUCAAUACAUUCAGGAGAGGGGAUAUAUGGCGCAUAGGUGAUGGAUCACAAGUGAACAUUUGGGCUGAUUCGUGGAUACAAUUGAGUGCCGAUGGCCGUGUCACUACACCACGAGGAGGGACCCUUCUGUCUAAGGUUUCGGAGUUGAUUGAUCAUGUCACUGGUUUAUGGGAUGAACAGUUGAUAAACGAUGUAUUUUGGCCGGUUGAUGAGCAUAGGAUUCUUGCCAUACCGCUGGCACCACAUGGGAUGAUGGAAGAUUUUGUGGCCUGGCGGUUUACAAGGAACUUUGCCUUCUCGGUCCGAUCAGCUUAUCAUGUGGAGUGGCAACAUCAAUUUGCACGCUGGUAUGAACGAACAGAGGGGCAGCCGUCCCAGCGUUAUCCGGUGUGGAAGAAGCUCUGGUCUUCGCCCGCCCCAGCUAAGAUUAAGAUCUAUGCUUGGAAGGUCUUACAUGGAUUCAUACCAUGUUACGAGGUAUUGGCAAAACGCCAUAUUGAUACGUCAGACAGCUGUCCCAUGUGUGUGGGUGGAUGCGAAGAUAUUAUGCACGCUCUCUUCACUUGCCCUAGGGCAGCCGAAGUCUCAGAUGUCUGAAUCUUUACGGGUUCGUGGAGGAGGCGUGUGAUACAGACAGGGCGGGCUCGCAGCGUUGGACUAUAUUUUAUGUGCUCCUACACGCCAGACGUUGAUCCAAGAUAUCCCAGCUCAGUUUCUAAUCCUUGUGGGUAUCUGGUACAUAUGGUGGGAGCGUAGACAACAUGUCCACGGGGAGGAAGUGCAGACUCCGGUCCGAGCCGCGUUGUCAAUCGCAGCGAUGGCAGCAAAUUACCUCAAGGCUACGAAGAAGAACGUGGUAGUAAGAUCCUUUGGAUGGAGGAAACCGCAAGAGAAUUUUGUCAAGUUAAAUGUAGAUGCUGCUUUUCAUGCAGAUGACCUCCAGGGAGCUGUAGGAGCUGUGCUAGGGGACUGCAGAGGUGGUUUCAUUGCAGCUUCAAAUGAGAGGCUGGAGCAUGUUGCUGAUGUAGGGACGGCGGAAGCACACACACUACGGCAUGGCAUCUUGUUAGCGCAGCGGAUGGGGAUCACCAAGCUCAUUGUGGAGUCCGACUGCCUUGAGGUGAUUGACAUCAUGAACAAUGGUGGUUUUAUGGCAUCGGGCGCAGCUACGAUCUAUUCGGAUUGUUUGGUCCUUAUCAUAGGUUAUACUUCGGUGUCUUUUGUUCACUGCCCUAGAGAGACAAACUCUGUCGCUCAUGUUUUAGCUAAGCAAGCGGUGUCGGAUCCACCUUCCGUGUGGAUUGAGGAGCCGCCGGCCUUCAUUGUAAAGGGCCUAGUGGAUGAUGUAACUCUGUUUUGAUCCAAUAAAAGUUUCCUGAAGUUUUAAAAAAACUAUCUAUGAAGCAUAAUCCUUCGUUUACCAUAAAUAUUCAUGUUUUUCUUUCAAAAUUAUAGAAAACAGUAACACAGUCACUACAGCAAACUAGAAUAAAUUAUAAGAGGAAGAAUGUUACACUUUAGCUAUCACCUUACCUGAAUCAGUAAUCCUAAUUGUUGGAUUCGUCUGAUCAGAUUCUUUCAUGCCAUUUGAGAAAAACUAAGAAGGAUGAAGCUUAUUAGAAACUUCCACUGACUAGAACAAAUGCAGUUCACAACAAGGUUAUCGAAAUUACCUUUAGAAAGAAAGGACUUCUUGAAGCAAGAAUCGCUGAAUUGAUAUGCAUGUUUUUUUCUCGUAAAAGUGGUCUGCCCACCAUCAUCGAUGAAGAGUCAACACUCUGUUCUUUCUCACCUGCAAAGUAUUAGAUAAAAGAAAUAAAAAACACAUUGGGUAAUAUAUUCUACUGUCAAAAAACUCAGAACACUGUAUUUUUCUGUAGGUGUAGAUUCAUGUAAUCAAUAUUCAGAAAUAGGAUAAAAUGGUCAUCCAACAAUCUGACCAUGCUUGUAGCUCUCAUAGAUGUAACUGACUAACUGCUAUCUAGUGAGCAGUUCAUACUGCACAUGCAUCUAGUAGCACAAGCAAGUUCAAGUAGCUAAAAUAGAAACAAGGUGUUAAAUAAGAACUUGUGGUUAUCUCUGUAUUUUCUGCAAGCACCAGCCUGUAACCAAUAAUUAGCGUGUAUUGAGACAACAGGCAACCAAAGGCUCCCUUUGAUUAGCAGAUUGUGCAAAAACUAUACCUGCAUCCGCAUGAAGUUUUUUGUUUUUACCACGCAAGCUAAUGAUAACCAAUGUUUCAACACUAAGAAAAGCGGAGAUGGAAAAAAAAUGCAGACUAAUGUUGACCUGGAAUUGAAGGAUUGAAGGUUAUGAAGCAGUUUCUUCUUCACUUCAGAUACAGCUAGCUGUUACAUCAAGAGCAGACUUGAUAACAAUAUGGUAUUCCAUACCUAUUUGUUCUGUUGCUAUAUUAAGAAUAAAAAUUGGCAGAUCUAUUGUCGUAAGUACUGACUAGUGAACACACAAUAAUUUCCCUUUUGAAUUAUCUGACAUGUCCAUGCCCCAUGGUAACUCAGUCAAAACAAGUUUAAUUCGAGAUCUCUAAAUUUUCCCACAGACAAAUAAUUUUGAAAAAACUAACUAUAGGAAAUUAAUGCCUUCUCCAGAUGCUUUGUGACAAACUGUACCGAGAACUGUAAUGUGAAGACUGAAGGUUUAAAAUCGACAGAGAACAACAGGUUAGUAGAAUUCUCAGGUUCAGCUGGCAAGCACCUUUCAAGUUUUCCGAGCUGAACAGUGGUUACAGUGGUGCCCCUUUGUUGUCCAGUGGCCAAUCUCAAUUAGAACUGGAUUGAUUUUCAAUUUUCAUUCAAUUUUGGGGGUAAUCCAGCCGUGGACUUACAUUAUUUGAACAUAAAAAAAUGUUAACAUCAGCUACAUCCAUAAUAGUUGUAUUCGAGAAAAUAAAACAUCCAUGAUAGUUACAACAUUUUAAUAAUCUGUUAAUAGCAGCUACAUACGCACCUUCCUCUUCGCGGCGGCGCUCCUGGUCGGCGGCGGAUCCUCCGCCAGAUCCCGGCGCGGGGCUGACGGUGCCGAUCUCUAUCCGCAGCACCCUGUCGGAGAAGGUGGCCGAAUCGAACGCGAAGUCGAAGCUGGGCACCACGCCGCCGCGCGACAAGUCCAGCUCCAUCGCCGAUGCCACCCCCGCCCCCGCCGCCAUCGCUGAUGCUGAUUCUUUGCCGGCGUCCAUGCCCUCCGCCGCGUGCGGGAGAGAGAGGGACGAAACGCGGGGCGGCGGCCGGCCGUAACCUAGCCGCCGAAGCUUCUCCGAGAAGACGAGAAAGCGAGGCCAGCGGGUAUCAGACUUUGCAAACAGGACCCUCGGAAGUCGGAAAUGCUAAAUUACAUUUACGGGCGCGCUCUCUGGUUUGAAAUGCAAAACACCAUGUCUACUUUCAACUUACAAAUCACAUUUGAGUAUUUGUUAACGAAUAAAUCAAGUUUUUUAGCCUCAAAAACUAGAGUUGUUUUCCUCUCCAAGAUAUAGCUUGCUUAAUUUUCAUUUUUCUAGAAUUAUUUAGUUUUAUUUUCUACUCCUGCAAAAGGAACAUAGACAAGUACACACACCGAAAACAUAUCUAGUAUUUGUGUUUGAUGGCUUUUGGAGAAGAUCUAGUGUUGCCAAUAACAUACGGCCCAACUCCCGACACUUCUUUCUCAUGAAAGAUGGAGGCGAUAGCCCUUCAACCUUUAAUAGGUCAGCGAGCUUGUGGGUUCCCCUCUCCUUUAUCUGGCUCUGACGAUGGGAGGAGGGGAACCUUGUUUCUUGCGUCGGGCAUGUAGAGAGCGGGUAGGACUAGGUAUUUUGGUGGUGCCGCUACCGAGGUGGGGGCGGCACUCCAUCAAAUAAUGUCUAUUGCAACUACCUCCUCAUAUUCGAGGGAGGGGGAGUGCGCGGCCAUCUCUCGCUGAGUCGAGGGGCUAGCAGCUAGAAUUUCUCAUUCCGGCCUCUAGGAGGCGGCAGUAACGUCACCUUGAUCCCCCCCCCCCUCUAACUUUAUCCUUAAUAUAGCCGUCGCUGAUGCUGAUUCUUUGUCGGCGUCCAUGCCCUCCGCCACGUGCGGGAGAAAGAGGGACACAACGCGGGGUGGCAGCCGGCCAUAACCUAGCCGCCGAAGCUUCUCCGAGAAGACGAGAAAGUGAAGCCAGCGGUAUCAGACUUUGCAAACAGAACCCUCGGAAGCAGGAAAUGCUAAAUUGCAUUUACGGACGCGCUCUUUGGUUUGAAAUGCAAAACACCAUGUCUACGUUCAACUUACAAAUCACAUUUGAGUAAGUAUUUGUUAACGAAUAAAUAGAGUUUUUUUCCCUCAAAAAAUAGAGUUGUUUUCCUCUCGAAGAUAUAGCUUGCUUAAUUUUCAUUUUUCUAGGAAUUAUUCAGUUUUUUUUCUGCUCCUGCAAAAGGAACAUAGACAAGUACACACCGAAAACAUAUCUAGUAUUUGUGUUUUAUGGCUUUUGGAGAAGAUCUAGUGUUGCGAAUAGCAUAUGGCCCAACUCCCGACACUUCUCUGUCUCAUGAAGAUGGAGGCGAUAGUCCUUCGACCUUCAAAGGUCGGCGAGCUUGUGGGUUCCUCUCUCCUUUAUCUGGCUCUGACGAUGGGAGGAGGGGAACCUUGUUUAUUGCGUCGGGCAUGUAGAGAGUGGGUAGGACUAGGUAUUUUGGUGGUGCUGCUACCGUGGUGGGGGUGGCACUCCAUCAAAUAAUGUCUACUGCAACUACCUCCUCAUAUUCGAGGGAGGGGGAGUGGGCGGCCAUCUCUCGCUGAGUCGAGGGGCUAGCAGCUAGAAUUUCUCAUUCCGGCCUCUAGGAGGCAGCAGUAACGUCGCCUUGAUCCCCCCCCCCCCUCUAACUUUGUCGUUAAUGUAGCCGUCGCUGAUGCUGAUUCUUUGCCGGCGUCCAUGCCCUCCGCCGCGUGCAGGAGAGAGAGGGACGCAACGCGGGGUGGCGGCCGGCCAUAACCUAGCCGCCGAAGCUUCUCCGAGAAGACGAGAAAGUGAAGCCAGCAGUAUCAGACUUUGCAAACAGGACCCUCGGAAGCAGGAAAUGCUAAAUUACAUUUACGGACGCGCUCUUUGGUUUGAAAUGCAAAACACCAUGUCUACGUUCAACUUACAAAUCACAUUUGAGUAAGUAUUUGUUAACGAAUAAAUAGAGUUUUUUUCCCUCAAAAAAUAGAGUUGUUUUCCUCUCGAAGAUAUAGCUUGCUUAAUUUUCAUUUUCUAGGAAUUAUUCAGUUUUUUUUCUGCUCCUGCAAAAGGAACAUAGACAAGUACACACCGAAAACAUAUCUAGUAUUUGUGUUUUAUGGCUUUUGGAGAAGAUCUAGUGUUGCGAAUAACAUAUGGCCCAACUCCCGACACUUCUCUGUCUCAUGAAGAUGGAGGCGAUAGUCCUUCGACCUUCAAAGGUCGGCGAGCUUGUGGGUUCCUCUCUCCUUUAUCUGGCUCUGCCGAUGGGAGGAGGGGAACCUUGUUUAUUGCGUCGGCCAUGUAGAGAGCGGGUAGGACUAGGUAUUUUGGUGGUGCUGCUACCGUGGUGGGGGUGGCACUCCAUCAAAUAAUGUCUACUGCAACUACCUCCUCGUAUUAGAGGGAGGGGGAGUGGGCGGCCAUCUCUCGCUGAGUCAAGGGGCUAGCAGCUAGAAUUUCUCAUUCCGGCCUCUAGGAGGCGGCAGUAACGUUGCCUUGAUCCCCCCCCCCCUCCCCUCUAACUUUGUCGUUAAUGUAGCCGUCGCUGAUGCUGAUUCUUUGCCGGCGUCCAUGCCCUCCGCCGCGUGCGGGAGAGAGAGGGACGCAACGCGGGGCGGCGGCCGGCCAUAACCUAGCCACCGAAGCUUCUCCGAGAAAAUGAGAAAGCGAAGCCAGCGGUAUCAGACUUUGCAAACAGGACCCUCGGAAGUAGGAAAUGCUAAAUUACAUUUACGUGCGCGCUCUCUGGUUUGAAAUGCAGAACACUAUGUCUACGUUCAACUUACAAAUCACAUUUGAGUAAGUAUUUGUUAACGAAUAAACAGAGUUUUUUUCCUCAAAAGAUAGAUUUGUUUUCCUCUCGAAGUUAUAGCUUGCUUAAUUUUCAUUUUUCUAGGAAUUAUUCAGUUUUAUUUUCUACUCCUGCAGAAGGAACAUAGACAAGUACACACACUGAAAACAUAUCUAGUAUUUUUGUUUUAUGGCUUUUGGAGAAGAUCUAGUGUUGCCAAUAACAUAUGGCUCAACUCCCGACACUUCUGUCUCAUAAAGAUGGAGGUGAUAGCCCUUCAACCUUUAAAAGGUCGGCGAGCUUGUGGGUUCCCCUCAACUUUAUCUGGCUUUGACGAUGGGAGGAGGGGAACCUUGUUUCUUGAGUCGGGCAUGUAGAGAGCGGGCAGGACUAGGUAUUUUGGUGGUGCCGCUACUGUGUUGGGGGUGGCACUCCAUCAAAUAAUGUCUACUGCAACUACCUCCUCAUAUUCGAGGGAGGGGGGAGUGGGGGGCCAUCUCUCGUUGAGUUGAGGGCCUAGCUGCCAGAAUUUCUCGUUUCGGCCUCUAGGAGGCGACGGUAACGUCGCCUUGAAUUUUUUUUCCCCUCUGACUUUGUCCUUAAUGUAGUUGUGAGUGCUCCAACACCAUUGGGAAGCUCGGGAGGAGCUGUAUAGAGGUGGCCAGCUAAUGUCGUCCAUGGUGAAAAUGCUGACAUUUGUUGGAAGAUAGAUGAUCUAGGAUAUGACUUAUGUGGAAGGCUAAAGGAUCUUGUGGUCUCCUUCAUCUGUUGGAAGUUAGAUGAUCUAGGAUUUUGCAGCCAAUGCUGACAAAGCAAAAGAACUGUGAUCAUGUUGCGAUGUAUUGAUGAUAUGUACCAUCUUCCCCCUUCAACACAUGUUUUGGCGACGUCGAAGGAGUGAAGCUCAUAGAUCUCUAGGGACAAGUGUCUUGCUUCCUGAGCAUUUUCUAGUGUUGUGUCCCGUGUCAAGGAGAUCAUUUGAUGUAGUUCGUUACUUUCGUCUAUAGUUUGUCAAACUUUGUAAACACCAUGGAGGACUUUUUAGUAACAAAAGAAGACAUUGUAAACACUGUACUUUUCCUGUUGUGUUCAUCUUAGAUAGGCGCGUAUGCUCGAUCCAUGAGAUUAUCAUCACACUGGAUGUAAAAGAGAUAGAAAGCAACUGCCUCAGAAGAGUAAGGAAAUCAUUCGAAGACGAAAGCAUCACCCUACGGCCGAACCAUGGCACCGCCCGUUGCAGGCUUGAAAGAGGGCGGCAAGAGUCUUCAACUCUAGCUAGGUGUUUUUUCUUUUCACUUUUUGGGGAGAUUGAACAAAGGCGACAAAACACCGAAGAUCACUAGCUGACGGAGUAACUGAAGAACAAUUAUCGCAAAUCAUUUCGAUAUCUUGACGAGGGAAGGGCUCCGAGACAUUCAUCCGAGGAUAUCUUUGAGAAACUCUCAGUAAUGUUCCUCUUUUGCAAAAUUUUAGCUGAAAAUAUUUGGAUCCAAGGAUCAGGUGAAUCCUAACUCUAUCGGAAAAAAAAGUCAACCCCGACUUGAUACAAGUGGUCGGGUAACCUUGAGGUCCCAGACCUUUUUUGGUAAAAGUCCAGAUAAUGGAACACAACAUGUUCAGACACCCAGUAAUGCCCCCAACUUUGGGGGGCGACAUGGAGUAAUAAGGAAUCAUCCUACCAUAUGGCAUGAAACAAGACGGUAUUUGCUUAACAAAAACUUGACGACUACAAUUAAUCUUGAAGAAAAGUAAAGUGAGAUCAAAGGGUCUACCACCCCGAUUAAUCUUGAAGAAAUGUAAAUUUCAUUCUAAGAAGCCAUGAGCCUCGGUCCAUUCCUUGCAUCCUUCACCUUCAGGCGCCAAAGUGUUUCCAGCAGAGACAAAAAUAACGAAAUUAAACUCAGGUUACGCACAGCCAGAAUCCCAAUGAAGCGACUGAUGACGAACAGACGACUUAAUAAUAACUCUGUCGAGUGAGUGAGAAAUCAUAUCAAGCGUGAAACUCCGUCUGCUGGACCGCCGCCAAAUCAGCUCUCAGAUGCAGCACACCGUCGAUGAAGAGGUUGUCAUCGGCAAUGAACGCCGACCAUGGAACGCCAAAAAGAUCAUCACAUUUUUUCAACCAAGCACUGGUGAAGGUGUGCUUACAACUGUACUUGCUCACAAAUUUUCCGGACGAUCUUGUCCUUGCAGCAAACUCAAUAUCCACUGUCAAAUCUGUGGAACCGAAUCCAAUUAACUGGAGACCAAAGGUGGACAACUUACUCUGCUCAUUCAUUGUACAGACUGGGCUGAGAUAAAUGCUCCCCUUCCACCCUGCAAGCCGGAAGUCAUGUGAACAUGCAUGUCCAGAAGGGAAGAGUCGGGAGCAGUCCUCGCGUGUUAGAUCCAGGUAAGCGAUAACCUGUGGGCAGGGUCGAUCAAAAGUAACCAAUUUCACAGGUUUGUACUUGUACUCUCGCUCAGUAAAUUGCCAACAGGUUGUUGCGUCUGCUGCAAGAGCACCUUCCAUCUGUUUUGGGUAAGCUUUUUGUAGAAGUACCUCGGCAAUACGUUUAGUUACUUUCUCAUGGUCUAUAUCAUCAUCGCUGCAUGCUAGGAUCUC
rnacentral:lncRNA from 1 species